UACGGGGGGGGCAAGCGUUGUUCGGAAUUACUGGGCGUAAAGGGCUCGUAGGUUGCCAACUAAGUCAGACGUGAAAUCCCUCGGCUUAACCGGGGAACUGCGUCUGAUACUGGAUGGCUUGAGUUCGGGAGAGGGAUGCGGAAUUCCAGGUGUAGCGGUGAAAUGUGUAGAGAUCGGGAGGAACACCGGUGGCGAAGGCGGGUCUCUGGGCAUCUCCUGACGCUGAGGCGCGAAAGCGUGGGGAGCAAACGGG
rnacentral:rRNA from 1 species